rnacentral:rRNA from 1 species
UACGGGGGGGGCAAGCGUUGUUCGGAAUUAUUGGGCGUAAAGAGCUCGUAGGCGGUGUGUCGCGUCGGCCGUGAAAACCUGCAGCUUAACUGUGGGCUUGCGGUCGAUACGGGCAUCACUGGAGUUCGGCAGGGGAGACUGGAAUUCCUGGCGUAGCGGUGAAAUGCGCAGAUAUCAGGAGGAACACCGGUGGCGAAGGCGGGUCUCUGGGCCGAUACUGACGCUGAGGAGCGAAAGCGUGGGGAGCGAACAGG